GAGGGUUUAAGCCCUGGAUUGUCAACCCCCUGUCCUCUCCUACAGAACAAUAGAGACCUAUAGGGACAGAUAGAGGCCUCAGCUCACACUGAAACAUGUCUCAGAAGGUAAAUCAUCCUGCUCACACUGGAGCAGGCUGGUUGGACUCUGGCAGGGUUUGGCAAUGGGACUGAACACGUGAUUUAUCAGGGGCAGUGAAUAUGUAUAUGCACCCUUGUGUGUGUGUGUGUGUGUGUGUGUGUGUGUGUGUGUGUGUGUGUGUGUGUGUGUGUGUGUGUGUGUGUGUGUGUGUGUGUGUGUGUGUGUGUGUGUGUGUGUGAGAGAGAGUCUAGAGACAGAUAUUGAAGUAUGAGCCAUUGGGCUUUCAUGAAACAUGCAAGGACCUGAGCAGUGUGUCUGUGAUUGAUUCCUAAUGGGAAAGGCGGAUGACUGAGAGAUACACAGGUCUGUUUGUAUUGGAGCACCAGAGAGGAUCAGAUACAGGAAAAGGAAGAGAUACACAGGUCUGUUUGUAUUGGAGGACCAGAGAGGAUCAGAUACAGGAAAAGGAAGAGAUAAGCAGGUCUGUUUGUGUUGGAGGACCAGAGAGGAUCAGAUACAGGAAAAGGAAGAGAUACACAGGUCUGUUUGUGUUGGAGGAUCAGAGAGGAUCAGAUACAGGAAAAGGAAGAGAUACGCAGAGUAUUUUUGUCUCUCUCUCUCGUCUGACUAAUUUACCCGGUGUCCUUUCAGCCUGUCACUCCCCCUGCGACGUCACAUUUAGUGGCACAUCAGAAAGCCGGGAGGAGAGAGAGGAGAGGAAGUAGCGAGGGAAAGGACAAAAUGGAGCACUUUUCACUAGCGAGCCCUUAAAGAUAUAAUUACCUGUCUUUGGAGUUGAGGAAGAGAAAAUGAUGAGCGCCAAAAUAGAUCAUGGGGAAAGGAGCGUCUCUGAUCUUCGCCUGGCAGAAUAAAAUAAUGAAACACUUACAAUGAACACUGUGUUUUUCAUGUGCAAAUUAAACUUUACAUGUUGACAGUUCACAAUGUAGCUCCAUGCCUGGCUCACUUUCUGUCUCUCUCUUCCUCUCUCGCUCGCUCUCUCUCUCUCUCUUCCUCUCUCU
rnacentral:lncRNA from 1 species